rnacentral:rRNA from 1 species
GCAGCUUGCUGCUUCGCUGACGAGUGGCGGACGGGUGAGUAAUGUCUGGGAAGCUGCCUGAUGGAGGGGGAUAACUACUGGAAACGGUAGCUAAUACCGCAUAAUGUCGCAAGACCAAAGAGGGGGACCUUCGGGCCUCUUGCCAUCGGAUGUGCCCAGAUGGGAUUAGCUUGUUGGUGGGGUAACGGCUCACCAAGGCGACGAUCCCUAGCUGGUCUGAGAGGAUGACCAGCCACACUGGAACUGAGACACGGUCCAGACUCCUACGGGAGGCAGCAGUGGGGAAUAUUGCACAAUGGGCGCAAGCCUGAUGCAGCCAUGCCGCGUGUAUGAAGAAGGCCUUCGGGUUGUAAAGUACUUUCAGCGGGGAGGAAGGGAGUAAAGUUAAUACCUUUGCUCAUUGACGUUACCCGCAGAAGAAGCACCGGCUAACUCCGUGCCAGCAGCCGCGGUAAUACGGAGGGUGCAAGCGUUAAUCGGAAUUACUGGGCGUAAAGCGCACGCAGGCGGUUUGUUAAGUCAGAUGUGAAAUCCCCGGGCUCAACCUGGGAACUGCAUCUGAUACUGGCAAGCUUGAGUCUCGUAGAGGGGGGCAGAAUUCCAGGUGUAGCGGUGAAAUGUGUAGAGAUCUGGAGGGAUACCGGUGGCGAAGGCGGCCCCCUGGACGAAGACUGACGCUCAGGUGCGAAAGCGUGGGGAGCAAACAGGAUUAGAUACCCUGGUGGUCCACGCCGUAAACGAUGUCGACUUGGAGGUUGUGCCCUUGAGGCGUGGCUUCCGGAGCUAACGCGUUAAGUCGACCGCCUGGGGAGUACGGCCGCAAGGUUAAAACUCAAAUGAAUUGACGGGGGCCCGCACAAGCGGUGGAGCAUGUGGUUUAAUUCGAUGCAACGCGAAGAACCUUACCUGGUCUUGACAUCCACGGAAGUUUUCAGAGAUGAGAAUGUGCCUUCGGGAACCGUGAGACAGGUGCUGCAUGGCUGUCGUCAGCUCGUGUUGUGAAAUGUUGGGUUAAGUCCCGCAACGAGCGCAACCCUUAUCCUUUGUUGCCAGCGGUCCGGCCGGGAACUCAAAGGAGACUGCCAGUGAUAAACUGGAGGAAGGUGGGGAUGACGUCAAGUCAUCAUGGCCCUUACGACCAGGGCUACACACGUGCUACAAUGGCGCAUACAAAGAGAAGCGACCUCGCGAGAGCAAGCGGACCUCAUAAAGUGCGUCGUAGUCCGGAUUGGAGUCUGCAACUCGACUCCAUGAAGUCGGAAUCGCUAGUAAUCGUGGAUCAGAAUGCCACGGUGAAUACGUUCCCGGGCCUUGUACACACCGCCCGUCACACCAUGGGAGUGGGUUGCAAAAGAAGUAGGUAGCUUAACCUUCGGGAGGGCGCUUACCACUUUGUGACUCAUGACUGGGGUGAAGUCGUAACAAGGUA